UCAUCAAUCUGCCUUCUCUGCCUCCUCUACCAACCAAUCAGUGACAGGUACCACCAUCAAUCCUAAGCCAGCAAUCUUCACCACGCUGAGCCAAAGCUAGGGCUUUAAUUGACCUAGAUGAUCAUUUCCAUCACCAAUCCGAUGAUUACAACAACCAGUCUCAAGUAGUUGAUUUUCAAGGUAUCAAUUGACACUACGCACAAGAUUAUAUGGCAUAAUUUAUAUUGGUUUGUGUUAUUGAUUUGGACUGUAUAAUUUGUUGAUCACUUGAGCUUCAAAUAUAUUUUGGGAAAUUAUUUCAGAUCAGAGGUUUGAUAUCUGAAGAUUGAAGUUUUGUUUUAAUAUGUGGCCUGUCUUAAUAAUCUGGAUGUUGAAGUUGAUGUUAGAAAGUUCAUUGAGUUUUCUUGAUGAAAAUUUGAUAUUUAGCUGCUCAUUCAAGUCUUAGUCUUUAUAGUUUGGUUCAAUUGUUAAACAACAUGAUAAUUAGGUAUGGAUGUUUUAACAUUGACAUUUAUAUUAGAAUUAGCUACAAAUUAUAUUCUCCUACUUUUUCUUUUUAAGAGUGAUAAACUCAUAUUUUACAGGCAUCUAGGACAUGUUUUUGCAUCUAUUUUGUCCAUAUCAUUAGCUAUUUUAUAUUCUUUUAUUAAUUUUAUAGGUUAAACUCUAGCAUAGAGACCCUUUGAGGAGCUGUUGAUUUAUGAGUUCAGAAGAUCUCAUGAGCUUUAGCAUGGGCCAGGUAAAAGAUCAAAGUUGAAAGCUUCAUAAAAUGUCAGACGAGGAAAAACAUGACCGUGACUCAAGUUGUGUAAUGCCACAUGAUGCCAAAACACGAGUCAUAUUUUGAAGGACACAGACCAGUGUUGGCCCUUGUGCUAGAAUUGGAGUAAGGCACUGAAAGUCACAGGAGCAUCCACACGGCUCGUUUCUUUGGUCAUGUAAUAUUGCAAGAUGAUUUGAUCAUGUAAAUCUGUUGAUCAAAACUAAGAAGUUGAAUUUUGGUCUUUCUUGAUGGCUUUCAAAGAAUACAAGCACACGCAUGCCCCUUAAGAGCACUCGCUAAUUGAAUUCUGCAGUCAGCUCCGGUUUGUGGGUGUUGAUUUUAAUCUUUUUUGGGAGAUCGGAGCUGGAAUAAAAAUACAUGGAAAUGCAUGAGUUCUUCGGAUGCAGAGGGUGACUAUGGCAACAUGAAAUUUGAGCAGGUAAUGCUUGUGUUAGAAAAUAACUCAAUUCAGAAACUCGAAUUUGUUUGCAACUUGGUGAAACUUAAUGCCG
rnacentral:lncRNA from 1 species